rnacentral:rRNA from 1 species
AAUCAACGCUGGCGGCGUGCCUCAGACAUGCAAGUCGAACGCGAAAGUCCCCUUCGGGGGACAAGUAGAGUGGCGCACGGGUGAGUAACACGUAGGUAAUCUACCUUCGGAUGGGGAAUAACAACCGGAAACGGUUGCUAAUACCGCAUAAUGCAGCGGCACCUAAUGGUGACAGUUGUUAAAGCGGGGGAUCGAAAGACCCCGCGUCUGAAGAGGAGCCUGCGGCGGAUUAGCUAGUUGGAAGGUAAUGGCUUACCAAGGCGACGAUCCGUAGCCGGCCUGAGAGGGCGGUCGGCCACACUGACACUGACAUACGGGUCAGACUCCUACGGGAGGCAGCAGUCGGGAAUUUUGGGCAAUGGGCGAAAGCCUGACCCAGCAACGCCGCGUGAAGGAUGAAAUCCCUCGGGAUGUAAACUUCGCAAGAACGGGAAGAAU